CUUCACUGCGGAAGUGAAUACAGCCGGCGCAAGUUGGUCGGAGUUUCGGAGCUUUGCGCGUGUGAGCUCGGUGUUGCUUUCGCCUGGAAAGAUGCCUGGACUGGCUGCCGCUAGCCCUGUCCCGCCCGAAGCUCAGGAGAAGAAGCCUCUGAAGCCCUGCUGUGCCUGCCCGGAGACCAAGAAGGCUCGUGAUGCGUGCAUCAUUGAGAAAGGAGAAGAACACUGUGGACAUCUCAUUGAGGCCCACAAGGAGUGCAUGAGAGCCCUGGGAUUUAAGAUAUGACAUGCUGGGCUGUAAGCUCUGCAAAGCAUCUGGUUUCACUGCCAGAAUGUCCCACCACCUAGACCAUUGCCUGGCACAUGGUGGCCUACUUUGUGAAUGAAUAAUCCCUGAAGAAUGAAGAAGAUUAAAUAUUUUGGAAGUUCUUUGAUGAACUUUGAUAAGUGGAUAAAGUAUUUAUAAUUUAUUAAAAAACAGAAUGAAGAAAAUGUGGUAAA